rnacentral:lncRNA from 1 species
AAAACAUUGCUACUAGAGGUGACUUUGCCUCAUUAUCUCUGGCCCCAAUUUUGGAUCCUGGAAAAAGUUUUAUAAUUGUCUGAUUUAAGCCAAGCAUUCAUGGAGAAGCAUCAUGUCCUGGGGUGAAGAUGUGGUCCAUAUUCUUCAUGACUAAUUCGUGAGAGAAAUCUGCCCCUGCCAUAUACAGCCAAUCGUCAGGAAAUCCUGCAUGCUCUUCUUUCAAAAUACUUAAAAUUCAAGUGCUUCUUGUGACCUCUCUUGUCUGAGCUAGCGUCUUCACCAGCCUGGGUACAGCAGUGGGCAUCUAUCCAGUCACCUAGCCACCAUCUCUGUCUUCCUGUUGCCUAUUCUCAACACAGCUAUGACAGUGAUCUGCAUAAAAU